AAUAAGUAAAUUACAGAAUCAAAAUAAUUUGAGAUGAUUUAUCAAAUUUUUCAAAGCCUGCAAGAAAUUAAUUUGCUGAAACGCUUUCUGCUGACCUGAAACAGAGAGGAGAAAAGAAUUCCAAGUCCAAACUUCAUUAGUCCAGCUAUCCAUUUCACUGACAAUGACAAAAGUCGUUGUUGAAGACGAGAACAAUUCCGGAAAACUUUAACGCAGAGAUUGCUUCCCACACCACUUGUUCCACCAAAACAAAAUCAUAUCUUUACUUCCUAACUCGCAUUUAAUGUUACUCUCAAACCAAUCGAAGAUGUUGGUUUCCUUGAAUUCCAAACACUAAAUCCCCUCAUCAAAUGGGAGAAAAUUCCAAAGGCUUAGAAGAAAUUUGGUUGAGUGUUUCCAACAAUAAAUUGCCAUACAUAUACUCCAGAAUAUCCUUCCAAACCGCUUUGUGAUCGUGAAGAAACCUCCAUUUUCAUUUUUUUUAAAAGAGCCACAUUGACCAAAGAAAUAUCCUUCAUGCCCAAACCUCCAUCUUCUUUAGAUUUGCAAACCGUCUCCCAACUAGCCAAAAUGAUUCCUUUCUUAACAAUAUCUCCCAAUCAUAAGAAUCUCG
rnacentral:lncRNA from 1 species